rnacentral:lncRNA from 1 species
AUUCCCAUGAAGAAAGAGACGAGUGGAAGAACCGAUCUCUACAUUGCUAGCUGGCUGAAGUCUCAACCUCGCGAUAAGGUACUUUUUCAUGCCAGAUGACAUAUUUGUGUUCCUGACUCGAAAUUUUCGAGAUACUGUUGUAUUGUCUCAUCUCUCGUGAAUAUCUCGAUGACUUAUGUUUGUACUACUUGAGUAUUCGUUGAGGAAUUGAUUUGAGUACUGGUUUCUACGUGCAUAUUUUCCGCAGGUUAUUUUGGCAACAAAAGUAUGCGGCUAUUCAGAACGAUCGGCUUAUCUACGUGACAAUGCAAAAGUUUUACGGGUUGAUGCUGUGAACAUUAGAGAAAGCGUAGAGAAAAGCCUUAAACGACUCAACACUGAUUACAUUGAUUUACUGCAAAUUCAUUGGUAAGGUUACAGUUCUUUUAGGUGCAUCCAUGUGACGGUAGGCAUUUACAGACAUGGCAUCAACUUGCUUGUACUGGUGUUUUACUAUGUAAAAAAGUACUUUUUAUUACCGUGUCUUGUCAUAUUCUUAUCCUUAUCUCUUAAAAGUUAUCGUAUGUACCUGAGUAGUAUGUCUGUGUAUGUGCUUCAUUGAUGUAAUCAUAUUUUCUUGAACUUACGGUUUCAACCAGGCCAGAUCGUUAUGUGCCAUUGUUCGGUGAGUAUUUCUAUGAUUCUUCAAAAUGGCGACCGAGUAUACCGUUUGUGGAACAACUUAAGGCUUUACAAGAAGUCAUCGAUGAAGGAAAGGUAAUAAAAAACAGAGAUCAAAUUAAAUCGGAUUGCUGUUGGAAAAUCUUAUGUUACUCUAUUCAUAUAUGAGUGUCAGAUAUACAUACAACUGUCGGAAAAUCUGCUUGUGAUAUUUAAUCAGUUGUUUGAAGAUGUCACAAAUACUAAGAUUUGUAUAUGAAUGCUCUUUGAUUUCAGGUACGCUAUAUCGGAGUUUCUAACGAGACUUCGUAUGGAGUAAUGGAGUUUGUUCAUGCAGCUCGAGUUGAAGGACUAUCGAAGAUCGUUAGUAUCCAAAACAGCUACAGUCUUCUGGUCCGGCGUUUCGAGGGUAAAACUCAUCCAAAAUCUAUAUAAAUGUUAUACUAGCAUCUCAAUAUCUCGCUGUUGCAUCGAUUUAGUUGUUCCUGAAGUUUCGAUUCAUAUGCAAUGACCAACAAACGAAUGCCCCGGAAUUGAACCUCUGCUUAGCAGAGCCUUGGUCUUCUCUCAGGAUUGAAUCAGUUCUGGCUAUACUUAAUCUAAAUUCGUUUUCUUGUUCUCCUUCCGGGUAUUGUCUGAACAUAAACAUGUUUGAGAAAUCAGUAACAUUCUCCUUUUGCAGUCGACCUGGUCGAAGUUUGUCACCCAAAGAAUUGCAAUAUCGGGUUACUUUCUUACUCUCCGCUCGCCGGUGGAGCGCUAAGCGGAAAAUACUUGGAUAUCAAUUCCAAAGCGGCAAAGAAAGGGAGGAUGAACCUUUUCCCUGGCUACAUGGAAAGAUAUAACAAGUCAAUUGCCAAGGUAUAUAUGUAUGUUGAUGGUUGAAAUGCUCCCUCUACUAAAAAGAAUAGGCAAAUUACUCCCUCUACAUUAAAAACUUCAUCAAUUUGUACAGUUAAAAAACUGGCAUGGCUUCCAAAAUAACCACAUAGUAACCUGUGGCUGCCACAUGUAACUCGUGCUGACAUACUUGGACUAAUUUUUAACAAUAGAUAUGGAUGGAAAUUUUAACAUAAAGACUAGUUUACUCUCUAAUCUAACAUAUAGAGAUUAAUUUGUCCAUUUUUUGAGUAGAGUGAGUAAAAUGUAAUUCUACCCCUAAUACCAGUGCAUACAUGGUAUUUUUACAAAUGAUUGACGUAUUGGUGGGGAUUUUCAGGAAGCAACAAUGCAAUAUAUUGAGAUGGCGAAAAAGCAUGGAUUAAGUCCCGUUCAACUCGCGCUCGGGUUUGUACGAGAUCGUCCGUUUAUGACGAGUUCGAUCAUCGGCGCAACCUCGGUUGAGCAGCUGAAGGAAGACAUUGAUGCAUUUCUAACAACUCAACGGCCUUUGCCACCAGAGGUAAUGGAAGAUAUUGAAGCCAUUUUCAAAAGAUACAAAGAUCCUGCCAUUCUCUGAGAUCAAAGAUAUUCAUUUUCUUCAGAUUUUUUCAUUUUUCUUGAAGUACCCAUACUCGUAUCUUUGCUCGAUAUCAACAUUAAGCUUGACCAAAAAAGUCAGAGAAAACCGAGACUGGUUCAAACCGAUUAUUCAGUUCAGUUUGAUAUUCGGUUUCAUUAUUAUUAUUAUUUUUAGUGAUAAACAAGAAAACAAAAUUACAUCAAUGUAAAUUGGACAAAAGCAUCAUUAGCCUUAUUCUGUUGAAUAAACUUUAAAACUUCAUUCGGGGCGCCAUUAAAGAUUUUUCUUUCUCACUAAGCUCAUUUUGGCCGUACAAUCAACUAGAAUACCAUAGCUUUAAAAAGUAAAAUAAAUUUGCCUUUUACAUCUAUUAUAUAAAAAUAGAAAAGCAGAACGAUUUAUUUAGCCCUUUAAUUUUGCAAAAAGGGUCAUUUUAGCCCUUCAACAUUUUUUGGCCUCUUUUAGCUUUUCAAAUUACCGUGUUUGUCAUUUUAGCUCAAAAUGGAUGAAAAAUACAUGAUAAAAUUUGAAGUUAAAUAUUAUAAUUUUUAAUAUUUUUAUUUUAUCAUUUUAACUAAAGUCUCAUUUGUUAUUUAUAUCAAAAUUUUAUAAAUGUAUUUAUUACAAAUUUUAUUUUUCCCUGUGCAUGAGUUUUAUGCACGGUCAAUGAAUAAAAAUAUUAUUAUUGGAACCAAGUUCCAACACCACAUGAGUGUAUAUAUACUACUGAUCACAACCCAUGAUGCCAUUUCCUUUUUUUGUUUUAUUUUCAUAAUUUUGUUUGAGAAAUAUUCAAGAUGCUCUCGAAUACUAGUUUUUAAUAUUUUAAAUUAAUAUUUAAUAUAUAUAUCUUAUAAUUGCCGAUUAAGUCUUAGCUCGACUGGUAUGGAGGAGGAUGUGGAUUCGAGUGUGUUGAAGUGCAUUAUUCUCCUAUUUAUGAGUUGGGAGGGGCUAUAGAUAAUUCUAGACAUUGUCUCUAAAAGAGCACAUAAAAAAAUAUUUUUUUUUAUCCAUACGGUUACAAUAUGAUGAUGUCUAUAAUUUCAAAGGGAAUCACAAAUAACAUAUUAAAAGGAUUUUUUUUUUUUUGCUACAAGAUGUAGGAAAAUCUCCUAACUCGCCUAGAUCGACUAUAUGAGUUCAAGCUAUUUCAGAGUAAUCAUCAUGCAGUAAUUGAAGAACUUCAUCUGACGGUUGUAUGUAUAUUAGCUUGGCUAAUGGUCUUCAGGAUGCCAUUCGUGCCAAUCCAUCCGCUACCUUAUUUCCCUCCCUAAUGGGUAGUAAAAUUAUCAAAUUAGGUUAGAGUUUUUAACUAAUUUAGGUUAGGGUUUUUAACUAAAUUAGGUUAGGGUUUUUAAUUAAAUUAAAUUAGGUUAGGGUUUUUAAAUAAAUUAUGGUUAGAGUUUUUAAUUAAAUUAGGUUAGGAUUUUUAAUUAAAUUAAAUUAGGGUUAGGGUUUUUAAUUAAAUUGGGUUAGGGUUUUUAAUUAAAUUAAAUUAGGUUAGGGUUUUUAAAUAAAUUAUGGUUAGGGUUUUUAAUUAAAUUAGGUUAGGGUUUUUAAUUAAAUUAAAUUAGGGUUAGGGUUUUUAAUUAAAUUGGGUUAGGGUUUUUAAUUAAAUUAAAUUAGGUUAGGGUUUUUAAAUAAAUUAUGGUUAGGGUUUUUAAUUAAAUUAGGUUAGGGUUUUUAAUUAAAUUAAAUUAGAGUUAGGGUUUUUAAUUAAAUUAAAUUAGGUUAGGGUUUUUAAUUAAAUUAGGUUAGGGUUUAGGAUUUUUAAAUAAAUUAGGUUAGGGUUUUUAAUUAAAUUAAAUUAGGUUAGAGUUUUUAAUUAAAUUAUGGUUACGGUUUUUAAUUAAAUUAGGUUAGGAUUUUUAAUCAAAUAAUAUCAAAAUAACUUGGAAAAAUUUCUCUGUGUAUUACAUCGUCAUAAACUUCUAUUUCAUUACAUCAAAUGAUAAAUUUUAAUACGGUAAUCAAUGUCUAUGACCGGGGGAUUCGGUUCCACAUGGCAGCCGUCGACGGUUACGCGCUGGAUUCCUCCUUCCUCUAGCUUCCGGCGGCGGUUGUUCUUCCUCCGAUGGUGAUUGUUGUUCUUCCGGUUCGGCAUCUGGUUGUCGGACUUGGGACGAUGAUCCACCUUCAAAGAAUAGUAUAUGUGGAGGUGUUUACAUCAUGAACGGCGACGGAGUUUGAAAGCCAUGCGUUGCUGGCGAUUGGGGUAAAAAGGAGAGCUCCCCGACGGCCCCCAUUGCGAUCCCUCCUGCACCGCUGGCCUAGUUAUCGGUGGUCCGCUCGACAUUACAGGAAAUGGAGCUGAUCCGGGUAUUUGGCUCCAACCUGCCAUAAGAUUCGGAAAAGGAUACAUGUACGGGUUAGGGUACAUAUAAGGGCUAGGAAACAUACCUGGCAUCAUAGGAAAAGACGAAUGCGUGGGUAUCAUCUGUUGAAUUGCUGCGUCAGGUGACUGCGUCGGUGCUCUCGCUGGGGACGGUGAUUGCAUGGCCGCUGAUGGUGAACCGGGUGAAUGUCUGGGCCUCGUUGAGGGGCUGCCCUCGUAGUCUUGUCCCCUUGGAUUUAGAGGCCCGCGCCUUUCCCUUCCGGCACGUAUUUGCCGCUGCCUCUCCUCUGGCAUAAGUAAAUACGGCUUUCCAUGGAUCCUAAACCAUGGCAUGUAUUCUGGAACGCACGCUAACUCGGGAACGAUGAUUUGUUCCCGAGUAGGUAGAUAUUCAUGCCGAUUUUCCCACAUUUCUGUGUACUCUGACCAGUAUCUAGUCCAAUCCGUACCUAAUAGCCGAAGGUCGAUUUUGUGGUGCUCGUCAAACACCUCAGGGUCUGCAGGGAUCGAUUAUCUACAUCCAAACUGUCGUAGGACUCUGUCUGUCUGGUGAGGCUCCACGGUUGCAUAUUUGAUCAACACCACUUUCACGUGCCAAGCGUUCGGAUUUUGUAAAAACUCUUCCGGGAUUACUGCCCGGACUACCGGAUCCUCGUAUGGUGUCCAUUGAAACUACAUGAACAUGAUAGAAAUAUUACAUAUAUACAUAAUACUAAAUACUAAAUACUAAAUAUCAAUCCAUUAGCGAAUGUAUGGAAAUAUCUACUUGCAAUAAUACUUACUUCUGCUUCCGACCGUUGCUUCAAUAGAAGCCGUAUAUCUUCAAGUUCAGACGGUAAUCCACGAUAACUUGUCGGAUGGUUCCACCUAAUUAAAUAAAUUUUUAGCAUACUUUUAUUCUUACAAAAUCUACAUAACAAUUUCAAAAUGUAAUAUAAAAUUUACCUUGUUACGAGUGGGAAUGUAUAUGGGUGGUUCACUUGAGGACGUAGAAAUGGAAAUCGAAACCGUGCCCAUGAUUGCAGUAGUGACAGGCAACCUCCGAUUUUUGCUCUCCUCGGUUUGGUCGCCCCGCACAUCUCCCGAUAUAAUGUUGCCAAAACGGCAGACCCCCAACUAAAUUCACCGGCUGCUCUAAAAUCAACGAGUUUUAGCAGCCACCUUAGAUGUACACGGCUCCAUGACGUGUCGGCCAUCAGAUAGCCUCCAAUUAUUUGAAGAAUGUAUGAUCGAGCAUAUCGGAUUCUUUCAAUUUCGGUUGAAUUUGCAUUCAGAUCGGGGAAGGUGGCACGUAACCAGCCCAUCUCCACCUUACCUCCAUCCAUUUUAUCCGGAAUAGCGCCCAAAAGCUCGUAGCACACCGCCUCCCAAUUGCUAGAUUGGGCAGACCCGGUGACUGGGUGCCCGUCUACCGGCAAUCCCAAAUACAGAUGGACAUCUUCUAGAGUGAUAGUGCACUCUCCACAUGGAAGAUGAAAUGUGUGCGUCUCGGGUCUCCACCUCUCGAUGAGCGCACUGAUCAGUUUCGGCUCCAACUUGCAUCCCCGGCCUACCGUCGCCACGUGCCAAAAUCCCACUUCCCGCAGGUAGUUCUCUACUAACGGUGAUGGAGGACCAUGUAUAUUCCGAAUAUUGCAUUCCAAUACCCGAUCUUUAGACUUUUAUAACAAAAAAUAAAUUAAUAAUUAUCUAAAAAUACAUAAAUAAAAAUAAAUUAAUAAUACUUACCAUUUUCAUUUGCUCCACCGAUAUGUGAUUCCUAUCAAGACGAAUCAAUGAUCCGGCCAUUGUUGAAAAUAUUAAAAAUUUUAAAAUUAUUUUAAAAAAAUAAAAAUAUUUAAAAUUUUCUUAAAAAAAUGAAAUUGAACGGAAAAAGAAAUUUAAUAUGGAUUUGAGAGAUUUUUUGAAGGAAAUUGAGAGGAUUUUGGAAGGAAUUUGAGAGUUUAAGAGAAUUUUGGAAGGAAUUUAAGAGAAUUUUUGAAGGAAAUUGAGAUAGGAUUUGUUUGUGAAAAAAUAAGGGGUAGGGGGUUUUAUAGUAAAAAAAUUGUGACCGUUGGAGGGGCAACGGUCAAAUUUUUGACCGUUGGGGCACUGUUCACACGCACGUGUCAUCACGUCCACGUCAGCACGCCCUGAAAUAUAACUAUGAAUAAUUUUUUUUUUCAUCUGGAUAAGGUGGAAAAGGAUACAAUUACAAGGUGCCACUUAAUUCAAAGCGAAAUGGCGGUCUCCUCUUCCACAGUCUCUGCUUCCGUUCCUCCAUUUCUUUGCUGCAACACCACCAAAAUUCCCAGCUUUAAAGUCCCACGCCACACGCCACUACGUUUAUGCAAUGCUAAAAGAACGCAGAUUUGGGUCAAGAGGAGCUGUUUCAACUCAACCAUCACUGCUAAAGUCGCUCAACAAAGCGAUUUGCAGUAUAGGAAGCUCGGCGACUCUGAUCUUCAAAUCAGUGAAAUCACAUUGGGAACUGUAAGAGCUUUGAUUUCUUGAUAAUUGGUAUUUUUCUGUUUUGUUGAAAGGGAUUUCUCUUUUAUUUUCUUUUGUUGGGUUUGAAUUGUUGGUCUUUUGUUUUGGGGAAGUAAAUGAUUCGAAGAGAAUGAGAUUUAAAUGAAUUUAGCUUGAAUGGAUGCAUCACUUCAUGUUUGUUUGUUUAACUUUUUAGGAUUAUUAGUGUUUGGUUCAUGAUGAUUAAUAAUUUUUGAAUGGUUAAAUGCUGCUAUUAGUCUGAUUAUUUUUAAUUUUUUUACUUUUUGAAUUAUAAAAAUGCAGGCUAAUUAUUAAAUUCAUUUACUUUUUGGGUAAAAGUACAUUAGAUCAAAGGAAAACUAGUUCUUCUAUUUAAAAUUUUAUCAAAUUCUUCGGUUAAAAAUUAAUCUUUGUGCAUUAACAUGGAGUACACAUAAUACGCCACAUGUCACAGUUUGGUUAUUUCAUCAUCCACACCGGUUUUUAACUGUACAAAUAGAUCAAAUUUUUAGCAGAAAGAACAUAUUUGUUCUUGAAUUUAAUGUAUAGAGUUUAGUUUACCUAUUUCUUAACAAAGGAGGCAAAAUACAAUCUAGCUUCUUUUAUAGUGCUUUUACCUUGAGUUUUUGCUAUUCCCAAAAUUUGACCCGUCAAAUAUAUUAUCAUAUAUGUAAUGUUGUGGUAGUUUUUAUUUUCACAUAUUAUUCACAAAAAAGACAGUUAAUGGAUUUAAUUGCAUUUGUUUGCAGAAAAACUGAAAUUUUAGAAUUCGAAAAUUAUGAGGACUAAGAAUGAUCCAAUUGGAGAAUAUGGAUUAAAUCUAAUACUUUAUUCAUAGCACAAGAUAAUAGCUGAAUUUAAUCAACUGGAUUUAACUGUUACCAUUUGGGUGUAGUUGAAAUUUCAACGGAGACUAAAGUCAUAAUUUAGGCAUAGUAUAGGGACUAAUAACAUAAUUUAGCCAUUUUUGAAUUGUGUUGGUUUUUUUUUUUCUUCAUGAACUUUAAACUAAUAUUAAACAAGCUUUAAAUAAGUUUUGUAUAAUUAGUUAAACAAAUAUAAACGAGCUUCUUCUAAUCUGAACAUGCUUUAUUAGUAUUUAGUUCGUUAAACGAGUUUCAAAAUCUUGUUAAUAUUUAUUUUAUUUAGCUUGAUAAACGAAUAUAAAGGAACAAAGACCGAAUUGUUUAUGAACUGUUUAUCGAACUUUCGGUUUUACAGCCUUAUGUUUGAUUGCUUCAGAUGACAUUUGGAGAACAAAAUACAGAGAAAGAAGGUCAUGAAAUGCUCAGCUAUGCUUUUGAACAUGGAAUCAAUGCUCUCGAUACUGCUGAACACGCAAGUUCUUUGGUGUGCAUAUACUGUAUACGGGCUGUAUUUUUUUUCUAGUCUGGAGUUCGAGUUUUGUUCGAUAUCUUCACUCAAGUUUUUAAGUGCCACUAAAGCUCUCUCUUGCUCAUGCUUUCGAUUUCCCAGUACCCAUUUCCCAUGAAGAAAGAGACGAGUGGAAGAACCGAUCUCUACAUUGCUAGCUGGCUGAAGUCUCAACCUCGCGAUAAGGUACUUUUUUCAUACCAGAUGACAUAUUUGUGUUCCUGACUCGAAAUUUUCGAGACACUGUUGUAUUGGCUCAUCUCUCGUGAAUAUCUCGAUGAGCUUAUGUUUGUACUACUUGAGUAUUCGUUGAGGAAUUGAUUUGAGUACUGGUUUCUACGUGCAUAUUUUCCGCAGGUUAUUUUGGCAACAAAAGUAUGCGGCUAUUCAGAACGAUCGGCUCACCUACGUGACAAUGCAAAAGUUUUACGGGUUGAUGCUGUGAACAUUAGAGAAAGCGUAGAGAAAAGCCUUAAACGACUCAACACCGAUUACAUUGAUUUACUGCAAAUUCAUUGGUAAGGUUACAGUUCUUUUAGGUGCAUCCAUGUGACGGUAGGCAUUUACAGACAUGGCAUCAACUUGCUUGUACUGGUG